rnacentral:tRNA from 1 species
AAUGAAGUGCCUGAUCAAAGGGUAAUCUUGAUAGGGUUAAUUACGUAUAAUUACCUUCAUUA